CCUGCCAGUAGUCAUAUGCUUGUCUCAAAGAUUAAGCCAUGCAUGUCUCAGUACAAGCCAAAUUAAGGUGAAACCGCGAAAGGCUCAUUAAAUCAGUUAUGGUUCCUUAGAUCGUACCCACAUUUACUUGGAUAACUGUGGUAAUUCUAGAGCUAAUACAUGCAAACAGAGCUCCAACCGGAGACGGAAGGAGUGCUUUUAUUAGAACAAAACCAAUCGGCGGCGUGUUCGCUUGCGUUCACGUUCGCCGCCCAACUUGGUGACUCUGAAUAACUUUAUGCUGAUCGCACGGUCUUGCACCGGCGACGCAUCUUUCAAAUGUCUGCCUUAUCAACUGUCGAUGGUAGGUUCUGCGCCUACCAUGGUUGUAACGGGUAACGGGGAAUCAGGGUUCGAUUCCGGAGAGGGAGCCUGAGAAACGGCUACCACAUCCAAGGAAGGCAGCAGGCGCGCAAAUUACCCACUCCCGGCACGGGGAGGUAGUGACGAAAAAUAACGAUACGGGACUCAUCCGAGGCCCCGUAAUCGGAAUGAGUACACUUUAAAUCCUUUAACGAGGAUCAAUUGGAGGGCAAGUCUGGUGCCAGCAGCCGCGGUAAUUCCAGCUCCAAUAGCGUAU
rnacentral:rRNA from 1 species